ACAGACCAGCAGAUUGGCCGCGGAAGCCAAGUGCUUCUGAGGAAAGUCCGGGCUCCUAAAGGGGAAAGCACCGGGUAACACCCGGGAGGAGUGAUCCUAUGGAAAGUGCCACAGAAACCAGACCGCCCUUUUAAAGGGUAAGGGUGAAAGGGUGGGGUAAGAGCCCACCGCCUGGAAUGGUAACAUUCCAGUGGCUGGUAAACCCUGCUUGGAGCAAGGCCGAAUAGACGGGCUAAAGUGUCCCCGCUUAAUGCCCGCGGGUAGGCUGCUUGAGGUACAAUGUACCCUAGAGAGAUGGCCAUUAAAACAGAACCCGGCUUAUUGCUGGUCUGUAUAU
rnacentral:RNase_P_RNA from 1 species